UUAAUUAAAUCUAUAUAAUAUUUAAAUACACGAAAUUGAAGGAGCUAAUUAUUUUAUAUUUUUAGAUAUAUAUAGUGUUGCAUAACUAAAUAAAUAAUGAUUAGGGGUGAUAGGCUUAUCAACUUUAAUGAUAACUUGAUAAUCAACUAAUGUAUAAGUACACAGACACUUUUAAAAUGAUAAGGUUUUAGAAGAAAAACAAUCCACUUUAAUUUAAAUAUAUUUUGUUUAAUCACUAAUAUAUUAGUAAUCUAUAAUAAAUCCAGUUUGCUUGUUUCUCGUAUUGAUUAAUAUAUAAAUAAUGGAUAAUAUAAAUAAUGUUAAUAUUAGUAAUAUUAAGUACAAAACAUGAACUCGGCAAUAAGUCUUUUAACUGUUUAUCAAAAACAUAGCUACAUGUAUUUAUUUGUGGUAAUUUCUGCUCAAUGAAGUUUAAAUAGCCGCAGUACUCUGACUGUGCUAAGGUAGCGCAAUCAAUUGGCUUUUAAUUGGAGUCUUGUAUGAAAGAAAACAUAAGGGGCUACUUUAUUUUUUGUAUUAAGUGAAUUUAUUUAAAAAGUGCAAAUACUUUUAUUAAAAUAAUAGACGAGAAGACCCUAGAAAUUUUAAAGACGAGGCUUUUUGUUGGGGCAACAAAGUAGCAGAUAACCUACUUUAAGUACACGAAAGAUAUAUUUUGCAAGAUUAAAUUACUCUAGGGAUAACAGCAUAAUUUGAAAAAGUUUGUGACCUCGAUGUUGGAUUAGGGUAUUAUCAUUUAAAAG
rnacentral:rRNA from 1 species